CCCGUUGUAUACUGGCCACACCUCCGUCAUGUACUGUACUGGUUGUUGUCUUAAGUGACUCAAUAGUGUUAAAACUCUGGCUGUAAACACGACGACUCGCUCUUGGAUAGUUUUUUGCUGUCGUUUAAACUUUAGGCGACUUAAAAAACUACAUUUGAUAUUGGCUUCGUUCUGUGUCACGCCUGUACGCUAUAUCACCUCUAUGGUUCUUGACGCUCCAUUUGGUUUUCUCCACUUGUAUAUUUUUCUCGACUUGCAGUUUUAAUUUCGUGGUCGCUGUGUUGUCGUGUGGCUUGGCAAGACUUGGGCACUAUAAUUACACCAUAUAGUCUUUUGGUGGUACUUGUACUGCAAAGGAUGGCAUCUGUUAUUCCUGCCUGAAGCCAUGAAGUAAUGUUCCCUCUAUUGUGUUUCCAUUUAUUCUCAAUUUAUUACUAUACUAUUGCUUCUCAGUGAGGUUAUGGAGUAUAUUAUUUCAAGUGUGUUUUUUUUAUUAAUGUAUUAUGGAAUUAAUUGGCUAUAAUGUUGAGCUAUAUGCCUACAGGAGCUCCGUUAGUAGGUAGCAGUUGUGUCGACUUGGUAUUCGCCAUCUGCCGUAAAGUAAGCUGUAUUGUUACGUGUUUUGUAGGGUUUAAUUUCUGGGUCUUUAACCUUACAUUGAGUUUAUGGAGACUUUUCAUAUAUAAUCUAUCUGUAUAUAUAAGGAAAACUUUUUAUUUAUUUUUUUUAUUUGAUAUAGUGUGAGCAUUUUUCCCCCCUUAUGAAGCUUACUGUUAAUUAUUAUCAAGAACAUCCAAAUUCCUUCAAAUAUUCAGUAAAACAAGAUGAUAAAGGAUUAAUUUAUUGUUUUUAUUAUUUAUGCAGAAGACAAGGUAACAAUAAUGCCUCCAGUACUUGGUUAAUGUUGAGUUAGGUAAACACCCUGUGGCAUUGUAUAACAGUGUGUGUGUGUGAGGAUAGGGUCAUUAUAACACACUAAGACUAAUUAGGUCAUUAUAACACUAUUAAGACUGAAGUUAGGUCAUUAUAACACACUAUUAAGACUGAAGUUAGGUCAUUAUAACACACUAUUAAGACUGAAGUUAGGUCAUUAUAACACACUAUUAAGACUGAAGUUAGGUCAUUAUAACACACUAUUAAGACUGAAGUUAGGUCAUUAUAACACACUAUUAAGACUGAAGUUAGGUCAUUAUAACACACUAUUAAGACUGAAGUUAGGUCAUUAUAACACACUAUUAAGACUGAAGUUAGGUCAUUAUAACACACUAUUAAGACUGAAGUUAGGUCAUUAUAACACACUAUUAAGACUGAAGUUAGGUCAUUAUAACACACUAUUAAAACUGAAGCUCCUAAUGUGUCGGACUGUCUUCGCUGCAUAGCCAAGUAAACUGGUAAUCUCCCGGGAAUAAAAAAUCUAAGAAAUUAAUUACAAACUCAUAUGUACUGAAUGUUUGUCGUCAAUUACCCAUGCGUUGACGGCAGAGCUUCAGAAGACCGUACACCGACGACCUCUGCUGGUACAAUUUCUUCCUCCAUUUAACCUGUGCAGUAAGGUGAUAUUUUACAGUACAGGUUCUCUGUACUUAGAAUGUGAUGCUGUAGUACAAGAAUCUAACCUCUGUGGCAGAGUACGGUAGUGGAACCUCGAUAUAAAGGGACUUUCCUCGCCGUGUUGUCCGCUAAAUAAAAGUUUCGAUGUAAUAUCUUAGGGAUAGUAAAACUGCACUUCAUUCAAUGUCAUAAAUAACGAAGUGACAACAGGAUCAAACUAGUGUCACCUUGAUUUAACAUUGUUAAUUUAGUGCUGUUUUGGAUGUAAGGGUAAACAAAAUAUUUACCAAAAACAGAGAAAGAUUAAAACUAAGUUGAAGAUAAUAGAAAACUUGAUUAGAAGUCAUAGGAAAUACCAUAACAAAUUAAAGAUUGUUUAAAUACCAUAGUACACUUGUUUGUUAGACAUGUAAAUAUACAUUACCAAUAUGAUAAACAAGUUGUCUGCUGUAAGAAAAUUAUGUCUACUAUACUUCUAAUGUUAAUAAACUAACUGUACAGUACCUUGUAAUUUGUAUUUGUAUUGAAUAAAAUAAAACAAUC
rnacentral:lncRNA from 1 species